rnacentral:rRNA from 1 species
GACAGAGGAUGCAAGCGUUAUCCGGAAUGAUUGGGCGUAAAGCGUCUGUAGGUGGCUUUUUAAGUCCGCCGUCAAAUCCCAGGGCUCAACCCUGGACAGGCGGUGGAAACUACCAAGCUGGAGUACGGUAGGGCAGAGGGAAUUUCCGGUGGAGCGGUGAAAUGCGUAGAUAUACGGGAGGAACACCAGUGGCGAAGGCGGCUAUCUGGGCUGCAACUGACGCUGAGGCGCGAAGGCUAGGGUAGCAAACAGG